ensembl:lncRNA
GUAAAGCACUGUCUGCAUUCUGUGAGCCAAUCUAGCACAUUGUUGAACCUGAGGACGGCAUUGUUGAAACCAAAGAUUUCCACCUGGGUGGUGAGAGGUAUAGAUGGAGACCCGGAUGGUGAGUGACUACCAUCUGAAGGAGGUGGGGGAGUCCGGUGGGACUUAGCCCUUUACCUACAGGGUUUAAGCUAACGCUGGGUAGUCAGUACAGAAUUUAAUUAUAGGGCACCCAGCUGGUGUCUGGAAAAUUUGAAAGGAAAAAAAAAAUGCACUUGGUAUCAAAAAUGGUAUGACCAAAAACAGCUCACAGGCACGUCAAUGAUGGCAGGACAGCUGCUGCUGCUGCUGCUGCUAAGUCACGUCAGUCGUGUCCGACUCUGUGCGAGCCCACAGAUGGCAGCCCACCAGGCUCGCCCAUCCCUGGGAUUCUCCAGGCAAGAACACUGGAGUGGGUGCCAUUGCCUUCUCCUGGGCAGGACAGCAAUUGCAGCCAAUUAAGAGACACAGGCGAGCUCUUCCAGGUGGUCACAAUUUUGAAGCAUCAACGCUGGGAGAAACUGAACGAGGUGGAGAACGUGACUGAUUUCGGAAAUCAGUAUCCUACAGAAACUUGCUGGCCGACCUCAGAUUGUGAAAGUUAACUUCUACCAGCCUGUUUGUGAGUUGGCUGGCCAGGAUGGCCCCAUGCGGAUGUUCAUGACUUACGGAAGGAAAAGAAAAAGCGUUCCUUUUGACAACACGUCAAGACCCCUGCUCUAGAGCCCGUGUUCGUUCUGUCCAGGAUAAACAUCCUUUCAGUCACCAGCGCGGCAACUUGGGCUUCCCCUGGGGAAAACCACUCUCAGCACAGACCCCGCUUCAGAGACGCAGCUGAUCCAUCGAGCCCCUCGCCCUCGAUGAACCUGGGAGCAGCACGUCUGACCUCUGACAAUCUCUCUGGCUGCUUCCACGAGUUAUCUUUUCUCUACAAAUAAUGUCUAAGAGCACGUGUCAGCCAACAGAGACACGGCUCCGUCAGUCAGCUGGGGCGGCCAGCGGAGCUCUGGAGAGCCGCCGGCAUCGCUUCCUGUGGGGAGGCCUCGCAGGACGACCGGCUGAGCCUCAGCAGCACACAAUGCCUCCUGUCUCCCGCGACUCACUGCUGGUGCCACGUGAGGCGGCAGGAGGGAAACGACCUCCUGUAAAUGAAGCAGGCUCCUGUCUGGCAGUUUUUUGUGGUCACCCACCUCUGAACAUACAUACACAACC